rnacentral:rRNA from 1 species
GACGAACGCUGGCGGCGUGCCUAAUACAUGCAAGUCGAACGCAGUGGGGACGGGUGAGUAACACGUGGGUAACCUGCACAUCAGAGGGGAUAACACUCGGAAACAGGUGCUACACCGAUACUGAUGGAUGGACCCGCGGUGCAUUAGCUAGUUGGUGAGGUAACGGCUCACCGAGGCCACGAUGCAUAGCCGACCUGAGAGGGUGAUCGGCAACACUGGUACUUAGACACGGCCCAGACUCGUACGGGAGGCAGCAGUAGGGAAGCUUCGGCAAGGGACGAAAGUCUGACCGAGCAACGCCGCGGGAGUGAAGAAGGUUUUCGGAUCGUAAAACUCUGUUGUUAGAGCAGCGGUAUCUAACCAGAAAGCCACGGCGAACUACGUGCCAGCAGCCGCGGUAAUAC